UACGAAGGGGGCUAGCGUUGUUCGGAAUUACUGGGCGUAAAGCGCGCGUAGGCGGUGAUCUUUGUCAGAGGUGAAAGCCCGGGGCUCAACUCCGGAAUUGCCUUUGAAACGGGAUCGCUUGAGUCCGAGAGAGGAUGGCGGAAUUCCUAGUGUAGAGGUGAAAUUCGUAGAUAUCGGGAGGAACACCAGAGGCGAAGGCGGCCACCUGGACAGACACUGACGCUGAGACGCGAAAGCGUGGGGAGCAAACAGG
rnacentral:rRNA from 1 species